rnacentral:rRNA from 1 species
AUUGAACGCUGGCGGCAUGCCUUACACAUGCAAGUCGAACGGUAACAGGUCUUCGGACGCUGACGAGUGGCGAACGGGUGAGCAAUACAUCGGAACGUGCCCAGUCGUGGGGGAUAACUACUCGAAAGAGUAGCUAAUACCGCAUACGAUCUGAGGAUGAAAGCGGGGGACCUUCGGGCCUCGCGCGAUUGGAGCGGCCGAUGGCAGAUUAGGUAGGUGGUGGGAUAAAAGCUUACCAAGCCGACGAUCUGUAGCUGGUCUGAGAGGACGACCAGACAAACUGGGACUGAGACACGGCCCAGACCCCUACGGGAGGCAACAGUGGGGAAUUUUGGACAAUGGGCGAAAGCCUGAUCCAGCAAUGCCGCGUGCUGGAUGAAGGCCUUCGGGUUGUAAGCUGCUUUUGUACGGAACGAAAAAGCUCCUUCUAAUACAGGGGGCCCAUGACGGUACCGUAAGAAUAAGCACCGGCUAACUACGUGCCAGCCGCCGCGGUAA